UACGGAGGGUGCAAGCGUUAUCCGGAUUCACUGGGUUUAAAGGGUGCGUAGGAGGGUAGGUAAGUCAGUGGUGAAAUCUCCGAGCUUAACUCGGAAACUGCCGUUGAUACUAUUUGUCUUGAAUGUUGUGGAGGUAAGCGGAAUAUGUCAUGUAGCGGUGAAAUGCUUAGAUAUGACAUAGAACACCAAUUGCGAAGGCAGCUUACUACACAAUUAUUGACGCUGAGGCACGAAAGCGUGGGGAUCAAACAGG
rnacentral:rRNA from 1 species